rnacentral:rRNA from 1 species
AUUGAACGCUGGCGGCAUGCUUUACACAUGCAAGUCGAACGGUAACAGGCCGCAAGGUGCUGACGAGUGGCGAACGGGUGAGUAAUGCAUCGGAACGUGCCCAGUCGUGGGGGAUAACGCAGCGAAAGCUGUGCUAAUACCGCAUACGAUCUAUGGAUGAAAGCGGGGGACCGUAAGGCCUCGCGCGAUUGGAGCGGCCGAUGUCAGAUUAGGUAGUUGGUGGGGUAAAGGCCUACCAAGCCGACGAUCUGUAGCUGGUCUGAGAGGACGACCGGCCACACGGGGAAUGAGAGGCGGCCCAGACUCCGACGGGAGGCAGCAGUGGGGAAUUUUGGACAAUGGGCGCAAGCCUGAUCCAGCAAUGCCGCGUGCAGGAAGAAGGCCUUCGGGUUGUAAACUGCUUUUGUACGGAACGAAACGGUCUGGGUUAAUACCCUGGGCUAAUGACGGUACCGUAAGAAUAAGCACCGGCUAACUACGUGCCAGCCGCCGCCGUAAAAC